AUUGAACGCUGGCGGCAUGCUUUACACAUGCAAGUCGAACGGUAACAGGCCGCAAGGUGCUGACGAGUGGCGAACGGGUGAGUAAUGCAUCGGAACGUGCCCAGUCGUGGGGGAUAACGCAGCGAAAGCUGCGCUAAUACCGCAUACGAUCUAUGGAUGAAAGCGGGGGACCGAAAGGCCUCGCGCGAUUGGAGCGGCCGAUGUCAGAUUAGGUAGUUGGUGGGGUAAAGGCUCACCAAGCCAACGAUCUGUAGCUGGUCUGAGAGGACGACCAGCCACACUGGGACUGAGACACGGCCCAGACUCCUACGGGAGGCAGCAGUGGGGAAUUUUGGACAAUGGGCGCAAGCCUGAUCCAGCAAUGCCGCGUGCAGGAAGAAGGCCUUCGGGUUGUAAACUGCUUUUGUACGGAACGAAACGGUCCGGGUUAAUACCUUGGGCUAAUGACGGUACCGUAAGAAUAAGCACCGGCUAACUACGUGCCAGCCGCCGCGGUAACAC
rnacentral:rRNA from 1 species